CUCUUUACUUGGACAGGGUCAAUGGGCGAUCAAAAAGGCCCAUGGCCUAGGUUGGUGACCUCCAUUGCACUUCGGAGGGCGCCCACCUAAGGUCGGCCCCAAUAGUCAAGCCUACAUCAUAAUUGUGACAGCGGGCACCUGCAUUCGCGUGGCCCCU
rnacentral:snRNA from 1 species